GGGUUGUGAGGUUAAGCGACUAAGCGUACACGGUGGAUGCCCUGGCAGUCAGAGGCGAUGAAGGACGUGCUAAUCUGCGAAAAGCGUCGGUAAGGUGAUAUGAACCGUUAUAACCGGCGAUGUCCGAAUGGGGAAACCCAGUGCAAUUCGUUGCACUAUCGUUAACUGAAUACAUAGGUUAACGAGGCGAACCGGGGGAACUGAAACAUCUAAGUACCCCGAGGAAAAGAAAUCAACCGAGAUUCCCCCAGUAGCGGCGAGCGAACGGGGAGCAGCCCAGAGUCUGAAUCAGCUUGUGUGUUAGUGGAACGGUCUGGAAAGUCCGACGGUACAGGGUGAUAGUCCCGUACACCAAAAUGCACAGGCUGUGAACUCGAAGAGUAGGGCGGGACACGUGGUAUCCUGUCUGAAUAUGGGGGGACCAUCCUCCAAGGCUAAAUACUCCUGACUGACCGAUAGUGAACCAGUACCGUGAGGGAAAGGCGAAAAGAACCCCGGCGAGGGGAGUGAAAAAGAACCUGAAACCGUGUACGUACAAGCAGUGGGAGCACCUUCGGGUGUGACUGCGUACCUUUUGUAUAAUGGGUCAGCGACUUAUAUUCUGUAGCAAGGUUAACCGUAUAGGGGAGCCGCAGGGAAACCGAGUCUUAACUGGGCGUUAAGUUGCAGGGUAUAGACCCGAAACCCGGUGAUCUAGCCAUGGGCAGGUUGAAGGUUGGGUAACACUAACUGGAGGACCGAACCGACUAAUGUUGAAAAAUUAGCGGAUGACUUGUGGCUGGGGGUGAAAGGCCAAUCAAACCGGGAGAUAGCUGGUUCUCCCCGAAAGCUAUUUAGGUAGCGCCUCGUGAAUUCAUCUUCGGGGGUAGAGCACUGUUUCGGCUAGGGGGUCAUCCCGACUUACCAACCCGAUGCAAACUACGAAUACCGAAGAAUGUUAUCACGGGAGACACACGGCGGGUGCUAACGUCCGUCGUGAAGAGGGAAACAACCCAGACCGCCAGCUAAGGUCCCAAAGUCAUGGUUAAGUGGGAAACGAUGUGGGAAGGCACAGACAGCCAGGAUGUUGGCUUAGAAGCAGCCAUCAUUUAAAGAAAGCGUAAUAGCUCACUGGUCGAGUCGGCCUGCGCGGAAGAUGUAACGGGGCUAAACCAUGCACCGAAGCUGCGGCAGCGACACUAUGUGUUGUUGGGUAGGGGAGCGUUCUGUAAGCCUGCGAAGGUGUGCUGUGAGGCAUGCUGGAGGUAUCAGAAGUGCGAAUGCUGACAUAAGUAACGAUAAAGCGGGUGAAAAGCCCGCUCGCCGGAAGACCAAGGGUUCCUGUCCAACGUUAAUCGGGGCAGGGUGAGUCGACCCCUAAGGCGAGGCCGAAAGGCGUAGUCGAUGGGAAACAGGUUAAUAUUCCUGUACUUGGUGUUACUGCGAAGGGGGGACGGAGAAGGCUAUGUUAGCCGGGCGACGGUUGUCCCGGUUUAAGCAUGUAGGCUGGUUAUCCAGGCAAAUCCGGAUAAUCAAGGCUGAGGUGUGAUGACGAGGCACUACGGUGCUGAAGUAACAAAUGCCCUGCUUCCAGGAAAAGCCUCUAAGCAUCAGGUAACAUCAAAUCGUACCCCAAACCGACACAGGUGGUCAGGUAGAGAAUACCAAGGCGCUUGAGAGAACUCGGGUGAAGGAACUAGGCAAAAUGGUGCCGUAACUUCGGGAGAAGGCACGCUGGUGUGUAGGUGAAGUCCCUGCGGAUGGAGCUGAGACCAGUCGAAGAUACCAGCUGGCUGCAACUGUUUAUUAAAAACACAGCACUGUGCAAACACGAAAGUGGACGUAUACGGUGUGACGCCUGCCCGGUGCCGGAAGGUUAAUUGAUGGGGUUAUCCGUAAGGAGAAGCUCUUGAUCGAAGCCCCGGUAAACGGCGGCCGUAACUAUAACGGUCCUAAGGUAGCGAAAUUCCUUGUCGGGUAAGUUCCGACCUGCACGAAUGGCGUAAUGAUGGCCAGGCUGUCUCCACCCGAGACUCAGUGAAAUUGAACUCGCUGUGAAGAUGCAGUGUACCCGCGGCAAGACGGAAAGACCCCGUGAACCUUUACUAUAGCUUGACACUGAACAUUGAGCCUUGAUGUGUAGGAUAGGUGGGAGGCUUUGAAGCGUGGACGCCAGUCUGCGUGGAGCCAACCUUGAAAUACCACCCUUUAAUGUUUGAUGUUCUAACGUUGGCCCCUUACCGGGGUUGCGGACAGUGUCUGGUGGGUAGUUUGACUGGGGCGGUCUCCUCCCAAAGCGUAACGGAGGAGCACGAAGGUUAGCUAAUCCUGGUCGGACAUCAGGAGGUUAGUGCAAUGGCAUAAGCUAGCUUGACUGCGAGCGUGACGGCGCGAGCAGGUGCGAAAGCAGGUCAUAGUGAUCCGGUGGUUCUGAAUGGAAGGGCCAUCGCUCAACGGAUAAAAGGUACUCCGGGGAUAACAGGCUGAUACCGCCCAAGAGUUCAUAUCGACGGCGGUGUUUGGCACCUCGAUGUCGGCUCAUCACAUCCUGGGGCUGAAGUAGGUCCCAAGGGUAUGGCUGUUCGCCAUUUAAAGUGGUACGCGAGCUGGGUUUAGAACGUCGUGAGACAGUUCGGUCCCUAUCUGCCGUGGGCGCUGGAGAAUUGAGGGGGGCUGCUCCUAGUACGAGAGGACCGGAGUGGACGCAUCACUGGUGUUCGGGUUGUCAUGCCAAUGGCACUGCCCGGUAGCUAAAUGCGGAAGAGAUAAGUGCUGAAAGCAUCUAAGCACGAAACUUGCCCCGAGAUGAGUUCUCCCUGAGACUUUAAGUCUCCUGAAGGAACGUUGAAGACGACGACGUUGAUAGGCCGGGUGUGUAAGCGCAGCGAUGCGUUGAGCUAACCGGUACUAAUGAACCGUGAGGCUUAACCUUACAACGCCGAAG
rnacentral:rRNA from 1 species